rnacentral:rRNA from 1 species
CCUACGGGUGGCUGCAGUGAGGAAUAUUGCACAAUGGGGGGAACCCUGAUGCAGCGACGCCGCGUGAGGGAAGACGGCUCUCGGAGUUGAAAACUCUAUCUGCAGGGGAGAUAAUUGCGGUACCUGACUGAGUAUGCCCGUCUAACUACGUUCCAGCUGCCGCGGUAAGACGUAGGGGGCAAGCGUUAUCCGGAGUUACUGGGUGUAAAGGGUGCGUAGGUGGCAUGGAAAGUUAGAGGUGAAAGCCCGAGGCUCAACCCCGGUACUGCAUUUGAAACUGUCUGACUGGAGUGCAGGAGAGGUAAGCGGAAUUUCUAGUGUAGCGGUGAAAUGCAUAGAUAUUAGGCGGAACACCAGUUGCGAAGGCAGCUUACUGGACUGGAACUGACACUGAGGCACGAAAGCGUGGGGAGCAAACAGGAUUAGAUACCCCAGUAGUC